rnacentral:sRNA from 1 species
CCGGGCGCCAGAUCGGGCCCGGUGCGGGCGCCGGGCCGGUCGUCGGACCCGUCUGAUACCCUGUCCUGCGCUCCUUCGUAUCCAUCUUGCUCUUUGGAGGACUUGGUUAUGAGGA